AGCUUUGCCUAGUGGCAGUAUUGUAGCCAAUGAGGUUUAUCUGAGGCGCGAUUAUUGCUAAUUGAAAACUUUUCCCAAUACCCCGCCAUGACGACUUGAAAUAUAGCCAGCACUGGCAAUUUUUAACAGUCUCUAUGGAGA
rnacentral:snRNA from 1 species